rnacentral:rRNA from 1 species
UAGGGAAUCUUCCACAAUGGGCGAAGCCUGAUGGAGCAACGCCGCGUGUGUGAUGAAGGCUUUCGGGUCGUAAAGCACUGUUGUAUGGGAAGAACAGCUAGAAUAGGAAAUGAUUUUAGUUUGACGGUACCAUACCAGAAGGGACGGCUAAAUACGUGCCAG